rnacentral:rRNA from 1 species
AUUGAACGCUGGCGGCAGGCUUAACACAUGCAAGUCGAGCGGAGAGAGGUAGCUUGCUACUGAUCUUAGCGGCGGACGGGUGAGUAAUGCUUAGGAAUCUGCCUAUUAGUGGGGGACAACAUUUCGAAAGGAAUGCUAAUACCGCAUACGUCCUACGGGAGAAAGCAGGGGAUCUUCGGACUUUGCGCUAAUAGAUGAGCCUAAGUCGGAUUAGCUAGUCGGUGGGGUAAAGGCCUACCAAGGCGACGAUCUGUAGCGGGGCUGAGAGGAUGGUCCGCGACACUGGGACUGAGACACGGCCCAGACUCCUACGGGAGGCAGCAGUGGGGAAUAUUGGACAAUGGGCGGAAGCCUGAUCCAGCCAUGCCGCGUGUGUGAAGAAGGUCUUCGGAUUGUAAAGCACUUUAAGUUGGGAGGAAGGGCAGUAAGUUAAUACCUUGCUGUUUUGACGUUACCAACAGAAUAAGCACCGGCUAACUUCGUGCCAGCCGCCGCAGUAAAAC